GAUGAACGCUGACAGAAUGCUUAACACAUGCAAGUCCACUUGAAUUUGGGUUUUUAACUUAGGUUUGGGUGGCGGACGGGUGAGUAACGCGUAAAGAACUUGCCUCACAGCUAGGGACAACAUUUGGAAACGAAUGCUAAUACCUAAUAUUAUGAUAAUAGGGCAUCCUAUAAUUAUGAAAGCUAUAAGCGCUGUGAGAGAGCUUUGCGUCCCAUUAGCUAGUUGGAGAGGUAACGGCUCACCAAGGCGAUGAUGGGUAGCCGGUCUGAGAGGGUGAUCGGCCACAAGGGGACUGAGACACGGCCCUUACUCAUACGGGAGGCAGCAGUGGGGAAUAUUGGACAAUGGACCGAGAGUCUGAUCCAGCAAUUCUGUGUGCACGAUGAAGUUUUUCGGAAUGUAAAGUGCUUUCAGUUGGGAAGAAACAAAUGACGGUACCAACAGAAGAAGUGACGGCUAAAUACGUG
rnacentral:rRNA from 1 species